rnacentral:rRNA from 1 species
AUACGGAGGAUGCGAGCGUUAUCCGGAUUUAUUGGGUUUAAAGGGUGCGUAGGCGGAUAGUUAAGUCAGUGGUGAAAAGCCAUCGCUCAACGAUGGUCGUGCCAUUGAUACUGGCAGUCUAGAGUUCCGUUGCCGUGGGAGGAAUGAGUAGUGUAGCGGUGAAAUGCAUAGAUAUUACUCAGAACACCGAUUGUGAAGACAUCUCACGAAGCGGCGACUGACGCUGAGGCACGAAAGCGUGGGGAUCGAACAGGAUUAGAUACCCUGGUAGUCCACGCAGUAAACGAUGAUGACUAACCGUUGGUCUUAUCAGAUCAGUGGCCAAGCGAAAGCGAUAAGUCAUCCACCUGGGGAGUACGACCGCAAGGUUGAAACUCAAAUGAAUUGACGGGG